GAUGAACGCUAGCGGCAGGCCUAACACAUGCAAGUCGAGCGGGGUUUUCGGACCUAGCGGCGGACGGGUGAGUAAUGCGUAGGAAGCUGCCCGAUAGAGGGGGAUACCAGUUGGAAACGACUGUUAAUACCGCAUAAUGUCUACGGACCAAAGUGUGGGACCUUCGGGCCACAUGCUAUCGGAUGCGCCUACGUGGGAUUAGCUAGUUGGUGAGGUAAUGGCUCACCAAGGCGACGAUCUCUAGCUGGUUUGAGAGGAUGAUCAGCCACACUGGAACUGAGACACGGUCCAGACUCCUACGGGAGGCAGCAGUGGGGAAUAUUGGACAAUGGGCGCAAGCCUGAUCCAGCCAUGCCGCGUGUGUGAAGAAGGCCUUCGGGUUGUAAAGCACUUUCAGCGAGGAGGAAGGGUGGUGUGUUAAUAGCACAUCAUUUUGACGUUACUCGCAGAAGAAGCACCGGCUAACUCUGUGCCAGCAGCCGCCGUAAAAC
rnacentral:rRNA from 1 species